ACUCCUACGGGAGGCAGCAGUGGGGAAUAUUGGACAAUGGGCGCAAGCCUGAUCCAGCAAUGCCGCGUGAGUGAGGAAGGCCUUAGGGUUGUAAAGCUCUUUCACCCGCGACGAUGAUGACGGUAGCGGGAGAAGAAGCCCCGGCUAACUUCGUGCCAGCAGCCGCGGUAAUACGAAGGGGGCAAGCGUUGUUCGGAAUUACUGGGCGUAAAGGGCUCGUAGGCGGCCAACUAAGUCAGACGUGAAAUCCCUCGGCUUAACCGGGGAACUGCGUCUGAUACUGGAUGGCUGGAGUUUGGGAGAGGGAUGCGGAAUUCCAGGUGUAGCGGUGAAAUGCGUAGAUAUCUGGAGGAACACCGGUGGCGAAGGCGACAUCCUGGACCGGUAUUGACGCUGAGGCGCGAAAGCCAGGGGAGCAAACGGGAUUAGAUACCCCGGUAGUCCUGGCCCUAAACGAUGAAUGCUUGGUGUGGCGGGUAUCGAUCCCUGCCGUGCCGAAGCUAACGCAUUAAGCAUUCCGCCUGGGGAGUACGGUCGCAAGGCUGAAACUUAAAGGAAUUGACG
rnacentral:rRNA from 1 species